GACGAACGCUGGCGGCGUGCUUAACACAUGCAAGUCGAACGGUAAGGCCCUUCGGGGUACACGAGUGGCGAACGGGUGAGUAACACGUGGGUGAUCUGCCCUGCACUUCGGGAUAAGCCUGGGAAACUGGGUCUAAUACCGGAUAGGACCACUGCCUGCAUGGGUGGUGGUGGAAAGCUUUUGCGGUGUGGGAUGGGCCCGCGGCCUAUCAGCUUGUUGGUGGGGUGAUGGCCUACCAAGGCGACGACGGGUAGCCGGCCUGAGAGGGGGACCGGCCACACUGGGACUGAGAGACGGCACAGACUCCUACGGGAGGCAGCAGUGGGGAAUAUUGCACAAUGGGCGCAAGCCUGAUGCAGCGACGCCGCGUGAGGGAUGACGGCCUUCGGGUUGUAAACCUCUUUCAGCACCGACGAAGCGCAAGUGACGGUAGGUGCAGAAGAAGGACCGGCCAACUACGUGCCAGCCGCCGCGGUAA
rnacentral:rRNA from 1 species